UGGCGACCGGGUGAGUAACACGUAGCUGACCUGCCCUCGCGCGGGGGACAACAGUUCGAAAGGACUGCUAAUACCGCAUAAUUUGACGCUGCUUAGAAAGGCGUCAAUAAACUUCCGGGGCGCGAGGAGGGAGCUGCGGCCCAUCAGCUAGUUGGUAAGGUAGCGGCUUACCAAGGCACCGACGGGUAGGGGGCCUGAGAGGGUGACCCCCCACACUGGAACAGACAUACGGUCCAG
rnacentral:rRNA from 1 species